AUUGAACGCUGGCGGCAUGCUUUACACAUGCAAGUCGAACGGUAACAGGCCGCAAGGUGCUGACGAGUGGCGAACGGGUGAGUAAUGUAUCGGAACGUGCCCAGUCGUGGGGGAUAACGCAGCGAAAGCUGCGCUAAUACCGCAUACGAUCUAUGGAUGAAAGCGGGGGACCGUAAGGCCUCGCGCGAUUGGAGCGGCCGAUAGCAGAUUAGGUAGUUGGUGGGGUAAAGGCUCACCAAGCCAACGAUCUGUAGCUGGUCUGAGAGGACGACCAGCCACACUGGGACUGAGACACGGCCCAGACUCCUACGGGAGGCAGCAGUGGGGAAUUUUGGACAAUGGGCGCAAGCCUGAUCCAGCAAUGCCGCGUGCAGGAAGAAGGCCUUCGGGUUGUAAACUGCUUUUGUACGGAACGAAACGGUCUGGGUUAAUACCUCGGGCUAAUGACGGUACCGUAAGAAUAAGCACCGGCUAACUACGUGCCAGCCGCCGCGGUAAGAC
rnacentral:rRNA from 1 species